rnacentral:rRNA from 1 species
UACGGAGGGUGCGAGCGUUGUUCGGAAUCACUGGGCGUAAGGCGCGUGUAGGCGGCCUGUUAAGUCUGAUGUGAAAGCCCGGGGCUCACCCCCGGAAGUGCAUUGGAAACUGACAGGCUCGAGUCCCGGAGAGGAGAGUAGAAUUCCUGGUGUAGCGGUGAAAUGCGUAGAUAUCAGGAGGAAUACCGGUGGCGAAGGCGGCUCUCUGGACGGUGACUGACGCUGAGACGCGAAAGCGUGGGGAGCAAAC